AGAUACAAAAAUAUUUGGACAUAUCUGGUGUUCAAACUUAUGUAAUAAACAGUGCUAAGGUUGUCUUCCUCAAUGAAAGGCCUCAACCAAGGCCUGGUAAAGGUGUUAUCAAUACUUGUGAAGUCUGUGAUCGUAGCCUUGUUGAUAACUUUCGGUUUUGCUCCCUUGGUUGCAAGGUAAAUUUUUUUUUUUUAAUCUUUCAUCUACUUUUUAAUUGUUCAUCUCCAUUUUUCCUUACUGCCUCCAACUUUAUUCGCCUGUGUAAUCAACAAUAAUGCUGAUUUAUUUUGAAUCUAGACCCGAAUCUGGACUGAAAUUGAAUUAUAAAUUUUUGAGAGCUCCAAAUAUAAUAUUAUGAUGUAUAUUUUGAAGGUAUUUAAUAAAUUUUUUUAGGCCAAAAUACAAUUUAAUCAUAUAUUGCAUGAAUUUUGGGGUCAAGCCUCUGCCCUGCUGCUUUUAAAUUUUAAAUUCGUCGGAAGUUAUAUGAAAUCGAAAUGAUUUUAAAGUUUGGAAUUGACGUGAUUGAAAUGCAGAUUGUUGGGACGUCAAAGGAUUUUCAAAAGAAGAAAAGGCAACUAGCGAUGGUAUCGUCGGACUCUGAGGAUUCAUACAGUAGUAGUAGCCAUGGGAAGCCAAGGAAGAAUGACGACAACAGCAACAAAGUUCGUAGUUUUAGUCCAUCGACGCCACCUCCGACUUCGGUUAAUUACCGAAAUGCUAAACGUAGAAAAGGGAUUCCCCAGCGAGCUCCAAUGGCAGGACUAAUCAUACAAUAUUAA
rnacentral:lncRNA from 1 species